CCCCUCUGCCUUCCAUUUCUAUCCCUCCUCCUCCUCCCUCUCUCCACCCCUGUGCCAUGUGUAACAUUUAGCAAUCUGUCAAGACUCCAAGUGCGUUUACAUAUGAAGGGCCUACUCUCGCCCAACAUUGGAAACCCGGUGAAUGGACAUUGCUGCCAUCACUUCUCCGCAGAAGGGUCCUAGCCGAACUAGGAUGGAUUUGCCCCCAUUUGCAUAGCAGAUCAGAGAUAUUGGAAAGUUUUUUAAUUUCCUCCUGUCACUUGCACAUUAAGAGCCAUGUUCACAUUAGCAAACAGCAUCAGCCAAUAGCUGAGGAGCUGAAAGGGAAAGGUGGAGGUGAACUCCUAGGUGACAAUUCCCUGUGGACAAUGAGGACCCUGAGAGCUGUGACCACAAUCCUUUUCACUACUACACCUGUUACCACUGAUUGUUUACCAUGAUGGAAACUGGA